rnacentral:lncRNA from 1 species
CCCCUGAGUUCCUCAGGGGUUCAAGGGUAACUUAUCACCAGAAAAACUCCAGCGUCUCCAGGCCCAGAGAGUCAGGCUGGGAGCCCGCAGCCAUCCAUGAAGCCAGCUCCAGGGAGGUCUGGCCUUGAGCCUGCCCCGGCCUUAUCUCCGAGAGGAUAUGUUCUCGCCCUACUCCAAGUGUUUGUCCAGAAGACCAAGGCCCAGGCAGGGUCCCGAAAAGGGAAGCGACACCCUUCAGUGAUGAGAGGGAAGCGUCCGCAGCCCAGCCCUGGCAGAGUCACGGAGAGAACGGAUGGGGCUCCUGGCACAAGGACCCUGCGUCUUCUGUCCCCUCCCUCACUCAGACCCUCCCACAGGGUGCCCUCGCCAUCCCAUUGACCUUCAGGCUGUGAGGGUGGCCUUUGGGUUCCCCGCCUUGGCCCCUGGCCACCUGCACGUCCUGCCCCUCCUCCCACUCCCAGGCGCCUCUGGGCCUCCGCUCAGGCCGUCAAACCCAGCUCCACCAGGCCCCGGCCGUGUGCCCUUGGACAAGUGCCGUCUCCAGAGCCUCAGCCCCCUGUUUGCAAGAGCUUGUGAGCUAAAGCGUGCCAGGCCCUGAGUGCGAGGCUGGGAUGAACUGGCAUUCCUGCUGGCUCUGGCCUCUGGGACAGCACCUCCUCCAGCUCACUGCCCUCCACCCUUCCAGCUACAGCUCCCUCCGGUGCCCCAGAACCGCCCGGCACUCCGGGGCUCCCAGGUUCAUCUGGGCAUGACUCCGCCCUCCCGACAGAGCCCUCUGCACACCCCCUCCCCACCCUGGCCCAUCGCAGCUCUUCACGAAGACGCUUCAUGGAAUGGGUGAUUUUCCUAAGCACUUUUCUUUCCAUGAUCUCAUUUGGUCCUCACAGCACCUGGAGGAGGGCAGACAGGCUGUUGCUCCAUUUUACAGAUUUUCCAGACCAGGCUUUCUGAGAGGCUGUUAAUGAGCCAAACCAUUCUGCUAACCGUCGUUUUCAGAAGGGCCACCCGGCUCACGGUUCUCUUUAUUCAGGCAAAGCCAUCAAGACCCCGGGUCUUCCUCUGUGGCCCAGGCUGGAGUGCAGUAGCGCAAUCUCGGCUCACUGCAACCUCCACUUCCCGGGUUCAAGCGAUUCUCCUGCCUCAGCCUCCUGAGUAGCUGGGAUUACAAGCUCCUGCCACCAUGCCCAGCUAAUUUUUGUAUUUUUAGUAGACAUGGGGUUUCACCAUGUUGGCCAGGCUGGUCUCAAACUCCUGACCUCAAGUGAUUCACCCUCCUCGGCCUCCCAAAGUGCUGGGAUUAGAAGUGUUAGCCACCGCACCUGGCCUAUUCAAAAAAUUCUCUAUGGAGCUUCCACCAUAUACAAGGUAUGGACAAGCAGGAACUGAACACACACAGCCCUGCCCACCCGGCGCUGACAGCAGGAGAGACAGACCAUGCGACUAUCGAAGAAACCAGAGCCAGAAAAUAGGACCCGGACCUCUCUGGAUCUGCAUCCUCCCCCUAGUAAAAUGGGAGACACACCGCUAUCCAGACAACUGGGAUUCCUGGACCAGACUUUUCUUUUGAGCUCCUGGCAGCCUCCAGUCAGCUUUCUGUCUCUAUGGACUGGCCUGUCCUAGACAUUCCUUAUCAAUGGAGUCACACAGUAUGUGGUCAUUUCGUCUGGCUUCUUUCACUUAGCACCAUGGCAUCAGGGUUCAUCCACAUUGUAUAACCUGGAUCGGUGUUUCAUCCCUUUUUUUUUUUUUUUUUUUUUAAUUUAUUUUGAGAUGGAGUCUCACUCUGAUGCCCAGGCUGGAGUACAAUGGUGCGAUCUUGGCUCACUGCAACCUCUGCCUCCCAGGUUCAAGCGAUUCUCCUGCCUUAGCCUCCUGAGUAGCUGGGAUUACAGGUGCCCGCCACCACACCUGGCUAAUUUUUGUAUUUUUAGUAGAUGGGGUUUCGCCAUGUCAGCCAGGCUGGUUUUGAACUCCUGACCUCAAGUGAUCUGCCCACCUCAGCCUCCCAAAGUGCUGGGAUUGCAGGCUUGAGCCACCACACCCGCCUGUUUCAUCCCUUUUUAUGGCUGAAUAAUAUUCCGUCACACAGACCACAGUUGUUUAUCCAUUCAUCUGUUGGCGGACUCUUGAGUUCUGUUCACCUUCUCGCUGUGGUGAAUAGUGCUAUGAACAGGUAAGUGUUUGAUACCUGCUUUCAAUUCUUCUGGGCCUAUACCUGGGAGCAGCAUUGUAGGGUCAUAGAGUAACUAUGUUUAACUUUUUGAGGAAUGCACUGUAGCAGUUUAUCUUUUGUAUUUUGUUUUUUAGAGACAGGGUCUUGCUCUGUCGCCCAGGCUGGAGUGCAGUGGUGUGAUCAUAGCUCACUGCAGCCUCGACCUCUUGUUUUUGUAGAGACAAGGGUCUUGCUAUGUUGCCCAGGCUGAUCUUGAACUUUUGGCCCUCAAGUCAUCCUCCCACCUCUGCCUCCCAAAGUGCUGGGGUUACAGGAGUGAGUCAUUACACUCAGCCCACUGUGGCAGUUUUAAAAUAUGUUCUCACGUUCUUUGACCUCCUCCCUUUAAAAGGUGGAGCCUAAUUCCCAUCCCCUUAAGUAUGGAUCACACACAGUGGUGGCUUCUAACAAAUAGAACAUGGUGGGAGGGAUGCUAUGUCGCCUGUAAGGCUAGUCUUACAAGGGCCAGCCUGUGGCUGGCUCCCCUCUUUGCUCCCUCACUCUGGGGAAGCCACAGCCAUGUCGUGAGGAUGCUCAGACAGCCCAUGGGAAGGCCCACGGAGAAGGCAACUGAGGCCUCCUGCCAAGGCCAACGCAGACACGGCAGUCGUGGGAGUGGCCACCCUGGAAGUAGGUCCUCUGGUUGUGAUGAAGUCCUCAGGCCAGCAUCCUGACCCCAGGAAACCCAAGUCACAACAGCCCCCACUGAGCUAUUCCCAAAUACCUGGUCCACAGAGACCAAGACAGACAGCAAAUGUUUAUGACUCAGUUUUAGGGUGACAUGUUCCACAGCCAUUGAUAACUAAGACACCCACCCCCACCCAUUCUUCCCACAGCAGCUGGAACCGUCCCAUCAAAGAUCUCUCCCCAUUCUACCAAAAAUCCUUCAUGGCUCUUAUGGUUUCUGGAACAAAAUCCAGAUUUCUCGUUCUGACUCACAUGGCCCCAACUUAUCCCUCUGGGCUUGUCUCUUAUCUUCUUCAGACACACACACCCCAACUUUAGGCUCCUGGAAGGAAUUUUCAGGUUCCCCUAAUCACAUUUUGUAUGUCAAUCUUGCCUGGAAUG